AAUCCAUAGGUUAAUGAGGCGAACCGGGGGAACUGAAACAUCUAAGUACCCCGAGGAAAAGAAAUCAACCGAGAUUCCCCCAGUAGCGGCGAGCGAACGGGGAGGAGCCCAGAGCCUGAAUCAGCAUGUGUGUUAGUGGAAGCGUCUGGAAAGGCGCGCGAUACAGGGUGACAGCCCCGUACACAAAAGCGCAUGUGCUGUGAGCUCGAUGAGUAGGGCGGGACACGUGGUAUCCUGUCUGAAUAUGGGGGGACCAUCCUCCAAGGCUAAAUACUCCUGACUGACCGAUAGUGAACCAGUACCGUGAGGGAAAGGCGAAAAGAACCCCGGCGAGGGGAGUGAAAAAGAACCUGAAACCGUGUACGUACAAGCAGUGGGAGCCCCACCACCAAAGCAUUUGCUGUACCGCGUUGACGGAGCGAA
rnacentral:rRNA from 2 species